GAUGAACGCUGGCGGCGUGCCUAAUACAUGCAAGUCGAGCGAACAGAUGAGGAGCUUGCUCCUCUGACGUUAGCGGCGGACGGGUGAGUAACACGUGGAUAACCUACCUAUAAGACUGGGAUAACUUCGGGAAACCGGAGCUAAUACCGGAUAAUAUAUUGAACCGCAUGGUUCAAUAGUGAAAGACGGUUUUGCUGUCACUUAUAGAUGGAUCCGCGCCGCAUUAGCUAGUUGGUAAGGUAACGGCUUACCAAGGCAACGAUGCGUAGCCGACCUGAGAGGGUGAUCGGCCACACUGGAACUGAGACACGGUCCAGACUCCUACGGGAGGCAGCAGUAGGGAAUCUUCCGCAAUGGGCGAAAGCCUGACGGAGCAACGCCGCGUGAGUGAUGAAGGUCUUCGGAUCGUAAAACUCUGUUAUUAGGGAAGAACAAAUGUCUAAGUAACUAUGCACGUCUUGACGGUACCUAAUCAGAAAGCCACGGCUAACUACGUG
rnacentral:rRNA from 1 species